rnacentral:lncRNA from 1 species
AUGAUUUGCAAGUGGAGACCUCUGAGCAACUUGGUAAAGAAAGCAGGGCUUGGCCUUCGCCCGGGAGGCUUGGGACCCCUGACCACCCCCUACCCCAUCACCAAUAAACCUCUCAGAAGGAGGAAUUCUGUGACAGCCCUCAGAAGAGAGUGGCUAUCCACUGGCCACAGCGAUGACUAAAGCGAGGUUCAUGCCACAGAAGAACACAAAGGUCACCAAAGCUGUCUAAAGCAGACACUGAAUUUAUUAUUCGCCGAAGAAGGGGAGACACUCAUUUCGUUAAGAAAGGUCAGAACAGCUCUCCAAACUGAAGGUGAAUAGGACAGAUACACUGUGGAAAAGAGGACAUUUUGUUCAAAGGUCUGAUUGGCUCAAAAAGCAAGUUGUAAACUCUCUUCUGGGACUGACUGCUUUUCUGACUUUGUGUCACAGAGGCAUGAGAACAGCUCGUGGGAGAUUCUGGAUGGAUCUGACCUGUGGUGCACGGCCCUGGCAGCCUGGUGUCUGUGCCUCCUCUCGAGGGAUUCCUGAGCCCUGGCUUGUUCUU